rnacentral:lncRNA from 1 species
GAGGAGGAGGGGGAGGAGGGAGGCCGCCCGCCGCCCCCGCCCUCCCUGCGCGCUCCUCGGCGGCGGCCCCAUGUCCCCGGGCCCGAAGCCCCGCGGCGGGCGGCCCCCCCCGCGCGUAGCCGAGGUGGGGCGCCUCGUGUCCCCGCCCCGCGCCGCCGCGCUCCCCCGCGCCCGCCGAGGACAUGGUACGUUCCAGUGGCCCCGCGCUCAGCCCCGCCGGGGGGGCUUCGGCGGCGGCGGGGAGGACGCGGCGGCGGCGGCGGUGGCGGACGAGGGUCCGGGGCUGGGGCUGGCGAGCCGGGGCCGAGGGCGCAGCAGCGAGCCGAGAGCCACCCCCCCGCCGCCCCGGGCCACGGCCACGGCCGGCAGCAGCAGCGGCGGCGGCGGCCUCGCCCCUCGCUGGCACCCGGCGGGCCCCCCGCGGGCUGGCAUGACUCUGUUCGGCAGCGAAGAAGCGUGUCGGAGAUGUGAGUGCCGCGCGGGGGCGGGCGGGGGGCGCGGGCCGGGAGCGCGCGGCGCGGCCCCCUCCCGGUACGGAAGGCCUCAGCUCGCGGGAGCGCGCGGCGCACUCCUCCCCCCCAGCCCGGCCCCACGCGCGAGCCCCGCGGGGGGCCUUUGUUCGCAGGGCGGGGGCCCCGGCAAGACCGUUGGGGGGCGGCGGUUGGCGGGGCCGAGCCCGUCGGGCUGGACCGGGCGAGCCGCCCCGCCUCGGCUGCCCCCUCCCCCCCGCAUCUCCUUGAGGUUCGUCCUUUCCUCGGGGAAACUGAGGCCGGGGAGGGAGGAGCCCUGGCAUCCGAGGACGUCGCGGGGGUGGGGCCUGCCCAGGACCUUCAGGUCAGACCGUGGCACGCGUGCGAAGAGACUCCCAGAUUUAGACAUGGCCAGAGACCCCAAAGGGAGCCGGGCCCGGCCUGGCCAGAAGCGACAGCACAGCGCUACCCUCUACCACAGUAACUGUGACCUGAACUAUGAGCUGUAUCGGGAAGACUUCCCCUACAGGGUAUAUGAGUAUCAGAGGAUCCCCCCACUUAUCAACCGAGCACCUGUCAAGAGCAGACGGACCCACAUGGGUGCAGGAGGCAAGAGCGGCCUCAGUCCCCACAUCCCUCCACGAAGCAACAACCCACCCCCCAUCCGGACAAAGUUAAGAGCUGAGGAGCUGCACUCGAUCAAGGGGGAGCUGAGCCAGAUCAAGGUCCAGGUGGACAGUCUGCUCGAGAGCCUGGAGCGUAUGGACCAGCGGCGAGACAGACUGGGAGGGACGGUCCAGCUGCCAGUGUGCAGUGCAGACGGGCCCAUGUACCUGGCCGUUGUGAGGAGGGAGUAG